GAGAGCAACAGAGAGAGAAGGUAUUGAGAGAGAAGGUAUUGAGAGGGCAACAGAGAGAGAAGGUAUUGAGAGGGCAACAGAGAGAGAGAAGGCAUUGAGAGGGCAACAGAGAGAGAAGGUAUUGAGAGGGCAACAGAGAGAGAAGGUAUUGAGAGGACAACAGAGAGAGAAGGUAUUGAGAGGGCAACAGAGAGAGAAGGUAUUGAGAGAGCAACCAGGAGAGAGGAGGUAUUGAGACAGCAACAGGGAGAGAGAAGGUAUUGAGAGAGCAACCAGGGUAUUGAGAGAGAAACCAGGAGAAAGGGUAUUGAGAGAGCAACCAGGAGAGAAGGUAUUGAGAGAGCGACAGAGACAGGUAUUGAGAGAGAAACAGGGAGAGGGAAGGUAUUGAGAGACCAACCAGGAGAGAAGAUAUUGAGAGAGCGACAGACAGAAGGUUUUGAGAGAGCAACAGGGAGAGAAGGUAUUGAGAGAGCAACCAGGAGAAAGGGUAUUGAGAGAGCAACCAAGAGAGAAGGUAUUGAGAGCAACCAAGAGAGAAGGUAUUGAGAGAGCAACCAGGAGAAAGGGUAUUGAGAGAGCAACCAGGAGAAAGGGUAUUGAGAGAGCAACCAGGAGAGAAGGUAUUGAGAGCAACCAAGAGAGAAGGUAUUGAGAGAGCGACAGAGAGAGAUGGUAUUGAGAGGGUGUUGGGUUAAUGAGCGGUGAUGAUGUUGGCAGAGGGAGCAGAGCAGGACAGCUAACAGGCUAAUAAAGACCAUCUGUCAGGGGGUCUACUCUACGUGGGUGGGCCACUAGCUGGGCCACUCAUGUUAACACCUACAUUACAGAACAAAGACUUUACACAGGUUGGAGCUGGGAAGCUGCUGUGCUGGGGUGAGAGACCAACUUCAAUGCAUUUUGGGGAGCGCAGGCCUUCAGUGUGUGUGUGU